GACGAACGCUGGCGGCGUGCUUAACACAUGCAAGUCGAACGCUGAAGCUCAGCUUGCUGGGUGGAUGAGUGGCGAACGGGUGAGUAACACGUGAGUAACCUGCCCUCUUCUUUGGGAUAACGCCCGGAAACGGGUGCUAAUACUGGAUAUUCACUGAUUCUCGCAUGGGGGUUGGUGGAAAGGUUUUUUCUGGUGGGGGAUGGGCUCGCGGCCUAUCAGCUUGUUGGUGGGGUGAUGGCCUACCAAGGCUUUGACGGGUAGCCGGCCUGAGAGGGUGACCGGUCACAUUGGGACUGAGAUACGGCCCAGACUCCUACGGGAGGCAGCAGUGGGGAAUAUUGCACAAUGGGCGAAAGCCUGAUGCAGCGACGCCGCGUGAGGGAUGGAGGCCUUCGGGGUGUAAACCUCUUUCGCUCAUGGUCAAGCCGCAGCGUGGGGUUGUGGUGAGGGUAGUGGGUAAAGAAGCGCCGGCUAACUACGUG
rnacentral:rRNA from 1 species